rnacentral:rRNA from 1 species
CCUACGGGAGGCUGCAGUGGGGAAUAUUGCACAAUGGGGGAAACCCUGAUGCAGCGACGCCGCGUGAGUGAAGAAGUAUUUCGGUAUGUAAAGCACUAUCAGCAGGGAAGAAAAUGACGGUACCUGUUUAAGAAGCCCCGGCUAACUACGUGCCAGCAGCCGCGGUAAUACGUAGGGGGCAAGCGUUAUCCGGAUUUACUGGGUGUAAAGGGAGCGUAGACGGCAGCACAAGUCUGGAGUGAAAUGCCCGGGCUUAACCCCGGAACUGCUUUGGAAACUGUGCAGCUAGAGUGCAGGAGAGGUAAGUGGAAUUCCUAGUGUAGCGGUGAAAUGCGUAGAUAUUAGGAGGAACACCAGUGGCGAAGGCGGCUUACUGGACUGUAACUGACGUUGAGGCUCGAAAGCGUGGGGAGCAAACAGGAUUAGAUACCCCUGUAGUC